GUAGAAAUGAAGGAAUCCUGCAGGGUCUCUGCUGGGAGGAGCAGCUCUCCCUGAAGAGAGAAUAAUUCCUGCACCCAUCCCAGUCCUCCCAGUAACCCCAGUACCUCAUCCCAGUAUCCCAGUAACCUCUGUGGACACACACCAGUGCUCCCAGUAACCCCUGCACCCCAUCCCAGUAUCCCAGUAACCCCUGUGGACACACACCAGUGCUCUCAGUAACCCCUGCACCCCAUCCCAGUGCUCCCAGUAACCCCAGUACCCCAUCCCAGUAUCCCCAAUAACCCCUGCAUUGCAUCCCAGUACCCCCAGUACCCCUGUACCUCACACCAGUUCUCCCAGUAACCCCUGCACCCCAUCCCCGUGCUCCCAGUAACCCCUGCACCCCACACCAGUGCUCCCAGUAACCCCUGUGGACACACGUCAGUGUCCCCAGUAACCCCUACAUCCCAUCCCAGUGCUCCCAGUAACCCCUGCACCCCACUCCAGUGCUCCCAGUUAACGCCACACUCCACACCAGUACCCCCAUUAGCCCUGUCCCCCAUCCCAGUCCCCUUGUCCCCCCAUCCCAGUACCCCCAGUACCCCUGUCCUCUCAUCCCAGUACCCUGCACCCCAUCCCAGUCCUUCCAGUCUCCCCAGUCCCCCAUCCCAGUAUCCCCAGUCUGCCCAUCCCAACACCCCCAGUAUCCCCGGUGUCCCCAAUGUCCCCAAUGUUCCCAGUGUCCCCGGUGUCCCCAGCGCCUCCUCUCCGGACUACAACUCCCGGCAUGCCCCGCGGGGGGGGGGGGGGGGGGGG
rnacentral:lncRNA from 12 species